AUUGACGUGUUGAGCGAAUGAGUAAGUUUUUAUUGGUUUUAAGAGAGCCGGAGUUGCUGAAAACCGGUAUCUGAUAAUGACUGAAUAUGGUUCGUGAGCGUAUACACCAUAUCGACUAGUUUAGGUAUGAUCGGCUGCCGCCGUUAUCCGGUUUGAGAAAGUUAAUUUCUUACUGAGGGGUUUCUUUGUGAAAAGGAACCCGAACAAAGGUGGCAACACGUGAAAAACGUCCUUAUG
rnacentral:ncRNA from 1 species